UUGCUUGUUAAAAAUGCUUUAUCCAGGACUUUGUUCAGAGGGAUGUUACCCUUAUGGACGUCUAGACAUUUUUUUAACCUAAAAUUAUUACAACCCUUUAAAUCAAAUUUGGAUUUUGUAACUGACUUUCACACAAGGACUAGUGCAGGGACACAUGGCCUUGCUCAAGGGCAGAAUGGUGAGAGGUUAUCUCACUAACUCAACACUGACUCAAACUGUAAUCUUUGUUGUUCCAGCCCACAUCCUUAACUGCCAAGUUAUCACCACCCACUGUCUUCCUCAUACUUUUAGUCAUUUUGAAAAACCACAACAUCUUGACUUUACAAUACAAAUGACUUUUUUUUUUUCUUUUUUUUUUUUUGUGGAAAGGCGAGCAAUAAGACUAAACCAAUAGUAUUGUUCUGUAAAUAGCUUUAAUUUUGUUCUCAUGUAAAAUGUACUACAAUAACUAACAUGUAUUGAUUCACCACUCAUGAAAAACGUGGGAGAGAAAACAUGGUUUCUCAGUAUGAAACCUUAUAGGAAGUAACCCGCAUCUUUAACAGUAACUUAGCCCCUUUUGAAACGACUUCCGUGUAUUCCUGUUCACCCUCCAACCUCCUUAGUAGUGAUUAUUAUUCUCUUUCUCCCUCAAACUACUAGGAGACUACUACUACCACCACUACUAUUAUUACUAUUACUACUGCUGUUCUACUACAGUAAUUUCUUCUUUGCCCCUGAAGCAAGGCUUAGCGACUCCUGAAAGUUCUUUUUGUAAUUAUUUUUUUCUAUCUCUUCCUCUUUUUUUCCCCGUCCGCUUCUCACACGCUGUUUUUGAAACAAGCACAAGAACUUUUGUGACAUGCUAUGUGCUUAUGUAUGUUAAUAAAAGACUUUAAAAUCCUUCAGAAAA